UUUGCCGUCCGCUAGCAGACGGCAAAGCUCUUUGCCGUCUGCUAGCGGACGGCAAAGAGGCUAUAUAUCCCCUGUUUUUAUUUAAAUCCAUUUAAUUAGACAUGGUUUCAAACA
rfam:Triticum aestivum genome assembly, contig: Triticum_aestivum_CS42_TGACv1_scaffold_064047_1DL